CGCGGGGUAGAGCAGUGGUUAGCUUGCUACUUUGACUUGGUAGAGGUCGGUUGUUCGAUUCAGCCCCCCGCAA
rnacentral:tRNA from 1 species